GACGAACGCUGGCGGCGUGCCUAAUACAUGCAAGUAGAACGCACAGUUUAUACGGUAGCUUGCUACACCAUAGACUGUGAGUUGCGAACGGGUGAGUAACGCGUAUGUAACCUGUCUGGUAGCGGGGGGUAACUAUUGGAAACGAUAGCUAAUACCGCAUAAUAUUAAUUAUUGCAUGGUAAUUAAUUGAAAGGUGCAAUUGCACCACUACUAUAUGGACCUGAGUUGUAUUAGCUAGUAGGUGAGGUAACGGCUCACCUAGGCGGCGACACAUAGCCGAGCUGGAGAGGUGGUCCGCCCCAAUGGGAACGGGGCAAGGGCCAGAACCCCUAGGGGGGGCGCAGUAGGGGAAUAUCGGAAAUGGAGGAAAGUCUUAACGAGGAAAGCCGCGUGAGUGAAGAAGGUUCUCGGGUUGUAAAGGUCUGUUGUAAGGGAAGGAAGGGUGGGAGAGUGGAAAGUUCACACCGUGACGGUACCUUACCAGAAAGGGACGGCUAACUACGUG
rnacentral:rRNA from 1 species